AUUUAAUUACGCCGGCGCCUGACACUGAUGUAAUCACGUUCCCUCCGUAUUGACGUUAGUGCAUGCUCAGUUGCUAAUUUUGAAGGCGGGUCCGCCCGGUAUCUAGAAAUUGCCGGGCUGGUUUGUUUUGGGCGGACGUGACGUAACGUCUUGGCUUGUCUGCGUCAGCGAAAGGCCUCAAUUUCCUGUCCUCUGCUUACUGCCCCUUUUUUUGCCUGCGAAUGGCGGCGAUUUGAAGUUGGGGCUUUUCGUUUCCUCCAAAACAUUGAUAUCUGGAAAGGGAGCCCCUUAACACUUUUGGAGGGAACUGGCUGCAGCAUUUGGCGGGGAGAGAUAAACUGGUUUCCCACCUCUGCUUACUCCCACCUUCUCCCCUUAAUCUUCUCUUCCUCUGUGCGAGACUUUUUUCCUUUUUUAUUGUAGACACAGGGUCUUUGUUCUGCUGCCCAGGUUGGAGUGCAGUGGCGUGAUCAUAGCUCACUGCAGCCUCAACCCCCCGGGCCCAAGCGAUCCUUCCACCUCAGCCUCCCGAGUAGCUGGGCCUAGAGGUGCACACCACCAUGCCUGGCUAAUUUUUAAUUUUUUUUGUAGAGAUGGAGCCUUUCUAUGUUGCCAAGCCUAGCCUCGAACUCCUGGCCUCCCAAAAUGUGGGGAAUACAGGCGUGAGCCACUGCACCCCGGGUCAUUCCUCUUUUACUUCCUUGCUGUACCCCAACUAUCCUUCCCCCUCGGUGCCCUUAAAACCUUUGCAUUGGGUAAGUACAUUUUUUAAAGAGACUCUAGAAUUGGGCGCCAGUCUCCAAUUAAAAUUGUGAAGCUUUAUGGUCUGCGUAUCAAAAGGAACCUCAGUUCCUUAAAAAUCCUGUCAUUUUGCCUUUAGGACUUAACGGUAAUAGAAUGGCAUUCCUCACUGCCUCCGAACCACUCAAGCUGCUGCCCAUGCACUCUCUUCUGCAUGGCUCCUGGACUAAGCAGCCUCCCUUUGAUUAAGCAGGUAAAAACCAAAUAAAGUUGUCAGACUAUAUGCCCUGCCCAGUGUGCAGUCUAGACCCAGCCUUUGUCUGCCAAGAGCCUGGAAAUGUUGACCUCCGUUAUUAAGCCUGGUCAGUCUAAGACUAAUUCUUAUUACCGAAGUACCAUUAGGUAAAUGUGCUAGCUAUAGAUUUAAGUGACAUAAAAGAUCUUAAAGAAUUCUCCAAGGGAUCUGUGGGGGGUUUAUGUAUUUAUUCAUUAAAAGAUCUGUAAACAACAUUUUAUACAAAUCUUGAUUCUUUUACAAAAAUAUCCAGAAUUCCUAACACUUUACAGAAAACACAACAGACCUAAGGAAAUGAAGCAGCUUCAGGCUGCGAGGAUGAAGACACCAUUGCUGAAGCAAAGGUCUCCUCCUAGAGGGAUAGCCAGGAUCCAUCACAGUAAACCCUUUUACCCCCAUUUUAUAAACAUCCAAUUAUUAACUGUUCCUGCUGGGUUGGAGUGUAAGAAGAGACCAAAUGGAGAGAUGUCUAGUAGAAGCCCCACUGGGGGUAACCUGCUUAACAUUAAAAAAAAGACAGGCUCAGUUCUAUUCCCUGGACCCACAUCUGUAGGAAUUAUAUUAUACAGCACCAGUCUUAAAUGGUGUUCUGCUUCAGAUUCAUGCAUACCUGAAUGGGUUGUAAUGACAAUACUGUACAAGUCAAUAAACUGUAUCACAAUACAACUUACACAGUUUUGUAAGGUUGAAUAAAUACUUUCUGUGCCAGUUAAAACCAUCAGCAGAAACUGAAGAAAACAAACUGACAUUUGCUAUAACAUUAAUCAAUGAAAAGUGCACCAUCUGAACUUGAAUUUGCCCAUGAGUUUGAAAACACACACACACACACACACACACACACACAGGCCGGGUGCAGUGACUCAUGCCUGUAAUCCCAGCACUUUGGGAGGCCAAGGUGGGUGGAUCACCUGAGGUCAGGAGUUCGAGACCAGCCUGGCCAACAUGGUGAAACCCCCGUCUCCACUAAAAGUACAAAAUUAGCCAGGUGUGGUGGCGGGUGCCUAUAAUUCCAGCUACUCAGGAGGCUGAGGCAGGAGAAUUGCUUGAAGCCGGGAGGCGGAGGUUGCAGUGAGCCGAGAUCACACCACUGCACUCCAGCCUGGGGGACAAGAGUGAGACUUCAUCUCAAAAAGAAAAGAGAAGAAAAGGAAAAAAAGGCAUCUUGAACAAUAAGAGAGUAGGGGCUGGGUGCAGUGGCUCACACCUGUAAUCCCAGCACUUUGGGAGGCCGAAGAAGGCAGAUCACUUGAGGUCAGUAGUUUGAGACCAGCCUGGCCAACAUCGUGAAACCCCGUCUCUACUAAAAAUACAAAAAAUUAGCUGGGCAUGGUGGUGUGCACCUGUAGUCCCAGCUACUUGGGAGGCUGAGGCACGAUAAUUGCUUGAACCUGGGAGGCAGAAGUUGCAGUGAGCUGAGAUCACGCCACUGCACUCCAGCCUGGGCAACAGAUUGAGACUCCAUCUCAAAAACGAAACAAAACAGUAAGAGAGUAAACAAUGUAGUGGAAAGAGACAAAGAUUUUUAUAAAAGAUGAUAUUCAAGAGACCAAUAAAUAGAAGGAUGCUCAACCUCAACAGGAAUCAAGGAAUGCAAAUUAAACCACAAUAUGAAUAACACUACGCACCCACCAGAUAGGCUAAAUUAUACAACUGAUGAUAAAAAGUGAUGGUGAAGACGUGGAGCAACAGGAACUCUCAUACACUGUUGAAGGGAAUUUAAAUUGGCACAACUACUUUGGAAAACAAUUUAACUUUAUUUAUUAAAGUUGGAGAUAUGUUUACCCUAUGACUCAGCAAUUCAAUUUCCAAGUAUAUACCCAUUGAACUGCAUGUGUGUAUGCACUGAGGGUCAUGUAUAUUUAUAGCAACAUUAUUCAUAACAACCUCAAACUGGAAACAACUCAAAUGUUCAACUGUAGAAUGGAUAAGAAAAUUGUGGUACAUUCACACAAUGGAAUCCUAUAUACAAUUAGAAUGAUCAGACUAUUGUUGACCUCAUCAACAUAGAUUAAUCUUACAGAUAUAAUGUUGAGAAAAAGAAGCCAGGCAAAAAUAUAUAUACCAUAUGAAUCUAUUUAUAUCAAGCUUAAAACCAGACAAAGCUGAAUUACAUUGCUUAGGGAGGAAUGCCAAGGGGUAAAACUAUAAAGCAAAAACAAGUAAAUGAAUACCAUAAAAGUCAAGAUAAUGAGUACCUUUGGUGGGGGAUGGGGAUGGAAACAGAAAGAGGCAUGAUGGGGUCUUCUAGGGGGCUGGCACUGAUCCCAUUGUGGUAAUAUUUCCAUUCCAUUCUAAUGCUCAUUAUGUAUCUGUACAUUUUGCUUUAACCACUUAUCUAUAUGUGUGUUAUAUUUGAAAUAAGGUUUUUUGGGUUUUUGUUUUGAGACAGCGUCUCCCUCUGUCGCCCAGGUUGGAGUGCAGUGGCAUGAUCUCGGCUCACUGCAACCUCCACCUCCCAGAUUCAAGCAAUUCUCCUGCCUCAGCCUCCCAAGUAGCUGGGAUUACAGGCAUGUACCACCAUGCCUCGCUAAUUUUUGUCUUUUUAGUAGAGAUGGAGUUUUACCAUGUUGGCCAGGCUGGUUUCAAACUCCUUGACUUCAAGUGAUCCACCUGCCUCAGCCUCCCAAAGUGCUGGGAUUACAGGCAUAAGCCACCAUGCCCGGCCUUGAAAUAAUUUUUAAAGUUAAUCCAGAGUAGUGUACCCUUCAGAAUAACACAAGAAUGAGCCCAAGGUUACUACUGUAAAUAAGAUACAGCUUUGGAUUUAUGUGUACUAUCGAAUUUUCCCAUCUUAAUACUAGAAGUAUUAUAAACAGCAAUAUUAUAAUAAUUUAAUAGAAAUAUUAUAAAUAGCAUAAAAUAGUAAUAACUAAAUUAAUAACAAUUCCACCACUCUUAAGAUCACUUAUUUUUACUUCUCAAUGC
rnacentral:lncRNA from 1 species